AUACGGAGGGUGCAAGCGUUAAUCGGAAUUACUGGGCGUAAAGGGCGCGUAGGUGGUUAGAUCAGUCGGAUGUGAAAGCCCCGGGCUCAACCUGGGAAUGCCAUUCGAUACUGUCUGACUAGAGUAUGGUAGAGGGAAGCGGAAUUCCGGGUGUAGCGGUGAAAUGCGUAGAUAUCCGGAGGAACACCAGUGGCGAAGGCGGCUUCCUGGACAGACACUGACGCUGAGGCGCGAAAGCUAGGGGAGCAAACGGGAUUAGAAACCCCAGUAGUCC
rnacentral:rRNA from 1 species